UGGCGUUUGCACCUGAUACUAGCCAACUAGCACGAAGCAGAGGUGAUUAAGAACCGAAAGGUCACAGGUAACCGCCUUCAAACUGACUGCAUGGCCAAUGUUUUUACAUCAAUUAACACUACUACAAGAUAACUGUGAAAAAGUCGUUUCUUGAAAAAUUACCGUUCGGAUAAACGAGUCAUUUUUCAAUGAACUAUUACGUUUUGUAGUACAAAUCGACCGUCCGUAUGCGGAACGCGAUUUUCCAGAUUAACAAGACAAAACAAUGUGGAAAAAAUUGGUUCCCAAAAAAUAUCGCCUGGAUGGUGAAGCGUCUGGAUAAAUGGCGUCCAGAUAAACACAGCUGCCACUGUAUUUAAUGUUAACUUGCCAAAAACACUCCUAAACAAGGUUUUCUUCGAAAUUAUGUUGUAUUUCUGCAAUUGCGGACUCAAAAAACCUCAGAAAUAUGAAAAAAUACAGAUUUUGUAAAUUAAUGGCAUAUCUGAGCAUAGAUCAGAAAAUAGCUUAAACAUUAAUCAACCAAGCUAAGUGAUGCCAAGAAGUGUAGUAUGUCUGACGCCCUGGCAAAGAAGUUAGCACCUGUCACUGUACAUAGAGAAGCCCUGAAGUCUAUCACUAACGUCCAGACAAGUGUUCCUGCCUCCACAGCCACAGACCAAUCACAUGUACUUUCAGAUAUUGUUGAUGUUAACGACCAAGAACUUGCUCUCCUUCUUGACAACCCAAUGUUUGGAAAUCUUCAGGACACGAGCAUCAGUAUCCCUAACGUGAAUUCCACAAAAUCAAUGUUUUCUUUUCAUGGAUGUAACGUUACCAUUAACAAUUAAAAUGUGUAGAUUUGUUCAAAUUUAUUGUUGAAUUGAAAUGUAAAUUUUAUUCUUCUACAUGUUCUAGCUUAUUGCCUCUGUUUGUUAUGAUUCUUGUUUAACAUGUAAUAUUUGUAAAACCUUUGUUCAAGUGCGAAGGCAAUCCCUUUCAUGAUUGUUGAUUAAUACACGUAAAGUCUCUCUC